rnacentral:lncRNA from 1 species
CGGAGGUGGCGCCAGCGCUGGGCGGCGGGUCGAGCGGAGGCGGCGAAAUCCGUGGCCGGAGAAAGGGAGGGCCCGGGUGGCGACGGCGCUGGGCGGCGGGGCGGAUGGAGGCGGCGCCGGCGGGCAGCCCGAGCGGCAACCCCACCACCACCCUCAUCUCCGUCACUCUCCCACGACGGGUACCACCCCUCCUCUGCUCCGACGACCGGCGGCUCUCCUCCCCAGGCCGGCGACGCGGAUCUGGUGGUACGGGACGACCACGGAGCGGCCGGCGAGCUCCGGGCGGCGCGGCGGCGACAGCAGCUCGACGGCGUCGCCCUCCCUGUCCCCCACACCUCCGUCGCCUCCGCCCCCUCACCACCGGGUCACUUCCUCACCACCGGAUCUCGCCACUGGAUACCGUCGCCGACGGAGAUCUCGCCGUCGGAUCCUGCCACCGACCUUCUUAAGUGGUGGUGGUGGAGGGGAGGGGGGGGGGGGGUGGAUUGGGGCUCGUCGCCUCGAGGAGGCCGACGGCGAUGUGGCUCUACGGCGAGGGUCGACCCACCGCCUGUUCUUCAACUGCUUCCGAUGUCCCUCCAUAUAUCUCAGAAAAAGAAAAUUAGGAGGGAGGACUAA